CCGAGGAGGAGGAGGAGGACGACGACGAUGAGGAAGAUAAUGGUGAAACAGAAGUUAGCAAGAUGAGAAGGCCAGGCUUCGUGAUAUGCAAAAGUUGAAGAAGCAGAAGAUUCAGGAAAUAUUGGAUCAGCAAAAUGCCGCUAUUGAUGCUGAUAUGAAUAAUAAGGGAAAAGGGCGGUUGAAGUAUCUCCUGCAGCAAACUGAGAUUUUGCUCAUUUUGCCAAAGGGAACCAGUCUGCUGCGCAGAAGAUCAAAGGAAGGGGCGUCAUGAAUCUAAAAUAACUGAAGAGGAAGAGGAUGAAGAAUGUCUUAAGGAGGAAGAAGAUGGCUUGUCUGGUACAGGAAACACGUGGCUGGUGACACAACCCUCUUGUAUACAAGGGAAGAUGAGGGAUUACCAGCUUGCUGGAUUGAAUUGGCUCAUAAGAUUGUAUGAGAAUGGCAUUAAUGGAAUACUUGCAGAUGAAAUGGUAGGUCACAGGCUG